rnacentral:rRNA from 1 species
UACGUAGGGUGCGAGCGUUGUCCGGAAUUAUUGGGCGUAAAGAGCUUGUAGGCGGCCAGGUAGGUCUGCUGUGAAAACUCGAGGCUCAACCUCGAGACGUCGGCGGAAACCAUCUGGCUAGAGUCCGGAAGAGGAGAGUGGAAUUCCUGGUGUAGCGGUGAAAUGCGCAGAUAUCAGGAGGAACACCAAUUGCGAAGGCAGCUCGCUGGGACGUAACUGACGCUGAGACGCGAAAGCGUGGGGAGCAAACAGG